AGUCGAGCGGUAACAGGAAUUAGCUUGCUAAUUUGCUGACGAGCGGCGGACGGGUGAGUAACGCGUAGGAAUCUGCCUGGUAGCGGGGGACAACAUGUGGAAACGCAUGCUAAUACCGCAUACGCCCUACGGGGGAAAGGAGGGGAUCUUCGGACCUUUCGCUAUCAGAUGAGCCUGCGUGAGAUUAGCUAGUUGGUGGGGUAAAGGCUCACCAAGGCGACGAUCUCUAGCUGGUCUGAGAGGAUGAUCAGCCACACUGGGACUGAGACACGGCCCAGACUCCUACGGGAGGCAGCAGUGGGGAAUAUUGGACAAUGGGGGCAACCCUGAUCCAGCCAUGCCGCGUGUGUGAAGAAGGCCUUAGGGUUGUAAAGCACUUUCAGAAGUGAGGAAGGGCGUGCAGUUAAUACCUGUAUGUCUUGACGUUAGCUUCAGAAGAAGCACCGGCUAACUCUGUGCCAGCAGCCGCGGUAAUACAGAAGGUGCGAGCGUUAAUCGGAAUUACUGGGCGUAAAGCGCGCGUAGGCGGUUUGUUAAGUCGGAUGUGAAAUCCCACGGCUCAACCUUGGAAUGGCACCCGAUACUGGCAGGCUAGAGUACGGUAGAGGGGUGUGGAAUUUCCUGUGUAGCGGUGAAAUGCGUAGAUAUAGGAAGGAACAUCA
rnacentral:rRNA from 1 species